rnacentral:lncRNA from 1 species
GUUCAACCUCCUGACCUCAGACUUGUUCUGGGGGCCCGGUGUUUUCUGUAGCAGGAACUUUGUUCACAUUUAAAAACCAAGGACGUCGCCGGGGUCCCCCUUGUGGCUGGUAGAGCACAGAGCUCCCUUCCUAGAUGUUAUUCUAGGAGCCCACCCCUCCGCAGACAAAAAAAUGUUGGUUUAUGCAGGAAAUGCACAUGGAUGCGCCGAUGGACCUAUAGGUGUGCUGCGCUGGAAAUGAAAGCUUGCACUUUAAAAAUAUUUCUGUAUAAAUUCCUUUCCUAUUCAGAAUCCAUUACAUUGUUGAUGAGAAUGCAAAAUCAUGCAGCUGCUUUGGAACAGAGUGGCAGCAUCUUAUACAGCCAAGUACAUGCUGAUCACAGACUGGCAAUUCUGCUCCUAGGUGCAGACAUCAAUUUUCACACCUACAAAGAGAACAGAUACCUGCUCGCCACUUCUCUCCUCAUGUACUAA